rnacentral:rRNA from 1 species
GGGCCCGCACAAGCGGUGGAGUAUGUGGUUUAAUUCGAUGCAACGCGAAGAACCUUACCAGGGUUUGACAUCCUGCGAAUCUCUUGGAAACGAGAGAGUGCCUUCGGGAACGCAGUGACAGGUGGUGCAUGGCUGUCGUCAGCUCGUGUCGUGAGAUGUUGGGUUAAGUCCCGCAACGAGCGCAACCCACGUCGUUAGUUGCCAGCAUUUAGUUGGGCACUCUAGCGAGACCGCCGGUGAUAAACCGGAGGAAGGCGGGGAUGACGUCAAGUCCUCAUGGCCCUUAUGGGCUGGGCUACACACGUGCUACAAUGGCAGUGACAGAGGGACGCUACCUCGCGAGAGGACGCAAAUCUCAAAAAGCUGUCUCAGUUCGGAUUGUUGUCUGCAACUCGACAACAUG